GUGUGGGUGUCGGUUGGGUAGGCCGUCUUGUCCAGAACUUUAAUGAACCCCAGUCCUUAAGUUGGAAAUCAUCUCUGUGCUCCUUCGGGUCAUUAUAGAUGUGUUGCCACAUAGAGGAGGAAUGCAACAGGUAAGAAGAUAUGAAGAAGGUGUGGAGCAGAUAUGAGAAGGAGGAGACGAUAUGGGAAAAGGAGCAGAAGGCAUGGAGAAAGCAUGACAAGAUCAAGACAAACUGCAGCUUCCCAUCAGGAACUUGACAGAGGCAGUUGACACACCCUCCUGCACCUCACCUGUCAGCUUUCUCUUUUGUUCAGGGUUUCAUGUCACAAGUUUUAUCAUGCAGGACUGUAGAUAAAUGUCAAAAGAUCUUAAUAUAAAAAGAAG
rnacentral:lncRNA from 1 species